rnacentral:lncRNA from 1 species
GGAUCACAAUGACAAUGGCUUCAAAAGAUCAGAGGUACCAAGAGAAGACUGCCAUAGCGAAAAGUUAACCAUCACUAACGCCUCCGCAGAGCCUCUCAAUGUCUUUCUCUCUGUCUGUCUUACCUUAACAGUGCAUCCUUCCUUCAUUCACUCGUGUAUACAGUCGUGCAUGUAGCUCGUAGAGUUCAACUGUCCUACAGGCCUUGACUUCAGAACUGAGAGUUUUCAGAUGCUAUGAGCGUCCUUUAACUCGAGGGUGCAGCCAUUUUCAACACGCCACAUGGCUGACCAUACAUCUCCCGAGCCCGAGUCGCUCUCCUACACUCCCAUGUUUCGCCCUCAGACAGAAGGACAAAGGUCAAGCCACGACCUUUACCAGCAAGGUUCAAUGAGUGGGCUCGGCCAGUUUGAGGUCCCGUGUGAAGCCACGGACGGCACCGGGAGCACUAUGAAUGGAAUCGAUCAAUCAGCGAACACUGCUUACUGGGGGAAUACGUCCCCUGUGUCCUCUAUGGGACUGAACAGGAACAAGGCACAAGCUGGAGUUUAUGAGACUGACUGGAGUUCUCACUGCCACCAACAAGAGGCAUUAGAGGGUUAUGAAACAACUGGGCAUCAGCAACAAAAACUGGAUUCUUUCUCCGAGGCGUUUUGCAGUCGUAGCCCCUUCCGAAUGCAGGCCGGAGGAGAGCAGAGCGGCUUCAACAACUCUACUCCUCCUUCACAUACCCUCUCCUUCCCUCUGGUUCUUAGCCCACCGCCAACGCCCUUGCCCCCUCCAUCCUUUUCUCCUCCUAAACGACCUCAACACUUCUCGCCUGGCCAGAUCUUAAGCCAAUCACAGAUAGAUGGGUCACUGCAGUUCUUUCCCUCUUUACCUUCGCCCUCCACCGGCAGGUUCAAUCACCCCAUUUGGCUCCAGCUACAAGCUGACGACAACAACGGCCUGGACUUAACGCAGCACCUCCCGCAAGAUUCAAACUCAUCCAUGGUUUAUUCAGAGCAUGGAGGGCCUCAUCUGAAACAAAUAAACUCCCUGCAGAAAGACUGUUCACUGCAAAUGCCCCUCAACCCUGCACUGGUUCAACAUCAUCAUUCUCAGGCCUGCUUGCAGCAAGAGCUGGGUCACGAGCCCGGGACAUCCGAAGAUCACAUGACAUGGCCUCAGUUUGGGCAAUCAUCCCGUUCAUUUGGACCUUCUCUGCAUCAGUCUAAUCUCCAUGUGCAGGGGUCAGGGCCAGGAGAAGGAACAAGAUUCGGUUAUGGACUGAACUUCGGUCCUGGGUCCUCAGAUAAACCUCUGGGGUCCUCCAGCACACAGGCAAAAUACCUUU